UGUUUUACCACCCAAUGAUACGAGUUUGAAUCCCGUAAAUGUAACUUUUGUUCUAUCUUUUUAUUUUGUUGGUACUGUACUACAGAAUUCUUUUAUGUGACACGUUUGCACAAAACAAGCUUCAAAGUCGAUUAUGUGUUAUUUGUAACAAUUUUAUUUCAAAGGAAGAGCAAGGUGGUAACUUCCUGUUUCAACACAUACAGAGCAAGCGACGUUUCAACUCGAGUGGACUUUCUCUCAAAAGACUCGACAACGAUUUUUACGGACGUAACACACCAACGGACCCCCGCCGCAUUUUAGAUGCUGACAAAGAAUCAGGUCACGUGCGGCCACAGACGACGAGAUCCUGAAACAUGCCAUUAGCACCGAAAUCCUGGUCCACUCAUUUGUCACAUCCCGCAUCGACUAUUGCAAUGCCCUCCUCACCGGACUCCCCACCAAACUCAUCAACAGACUGCAAAUCAUUCAGAACUCGGCCGCCCGGAUCAUCACCUGUACCAAAUCAUCGGACCACAUCACUCCUGUACUCAUCCAACUUCACUGGCUCCCUGUACAAUACCGCAUCAACUACAAAAACCUUCUCCUCACCUAUAAAGCUCUCCACAAUCUAGCCCAUACUUACCUCUACGACCUCCUCCAGGAACCCUCCCACACCCUCCGCUCAUCCUCUUCUGGACUGCUAACCAUCCCCACGUCACGCCUCAGUACCAUGGGUGCCCGAGCCUUCAGCUGCUCAGCACCCAGGCUCUGGAACUCCCUCCCCCCACACAUAAGACAAUCAGACUCCAUCACAUCAUUCAAGUCUCAACUCAAAACUCACCUGU